GCCGGAGUGGCGGAAUUGGCAGACGCGCAUGUUUCAGGUACAUGUACUCGAAAGGGUGUGGGGGUUCAAGUCCCCCCUCCGGCA
rnacentral:tRNA from 2 species